CGGCGGACGGGUGAGUAACGCGUGGGUAACCUACCCUGUACACACGGAUAACAUACCGAAAGGUAUGCUAAUACGGGAUAAUAUAUUUAAGAGGCAUCUCUUGAAUAUCAAAGGUGAGCCAGUACAGGAUGGACCCGCGUCUGAUUAGCUAGUUGGUAAGGUAACGGCUUACCAAGGCGACGAUCAGUAGCCGACCUGAGAGGGUGAUCGGCCACAUUGGAACUGAGACACGGUCCAA
rnacentral:rRNA from 1 species